GGGAGAGUAGGUUAUUGCCAGGGUUUUUAUUUUUAUACUUUUAACUUUGAUUUUAUUUUUAUGUUUUUUAAAUAUUGGUGUUUUUGAAUGUGUUGUUUAAAUAACAUAAAAAAUAAAAUAUAUAUUGACAUGUAUUAAACAAUGAUAUAUAUUAUUUGAUGUUGUAUAAAUAAAUUGGCAAAAUAGAGAUGGAAGAUAAAAAUAUGGUCAAAGUAAUAAGAGUCUAUGGUGAAU
rnacentral:misc_RNA from 1 species